rnacentral:rRNA from 1 species
GACGAACGCUGGCGGCGUGCUUAACACAUGCAAGUCGAACGGAAAGGCCUGCUUUCCCUUGUGGAUUGCGGGUACUCGAGUGGCGAACGGGUGAGUAACACGUGAGUGAUCUGCCCCCAACUUGGGUAUAAGCCUGGGAAACUGGGUCUAAUUCCCGAUAGGACUGCAGGGUGGUGCCUGUGGUGGAAAACGAUUUUCUAGUGGUUGGGGAUGAGCUCGCGGCCUAUCAGCUUGUUGGUGGGGUAAUGGCCUACCAAGGCGGGGACGGGUAGCCGGCCUGAGAGGGGGGACGGCCACAGUGGGACUGAGAUACGGCCCAGACUCCUACGGGAGGCAGCAGUGGGGAAUAUUACACAAUGGGCGGAAGCCUGAUGCAGCGACGCCGCGUGGGGGAUGACGGCCUUCGGGUUGUAAACUCCUUUCGACCGCGAGGAAGCCACCUGGUUGGAAGGGUGGUGACGGUAGUGGUAGAAGAAGCACCGGCUAACUACGUG